GUGGCGGGAUGGGCAAUCGCUGGCCUGACUAUUUAUAGAUCAGGCGGGAGGAAAGUCCGGGCUCCGCAGAGUAAGGCACUGGCUAACGGCCAGGAACUUGGAAGCGAUCACACGUGGAUUCGUUUCCGGGUUACGGAUAGUGCAACAGAAAAUAUACCGCCGAUGGCCUCUCGCAAGAGGGGAUCAGGUAAGGGCGAAACGGAGGUGUAAGAGACCCCCGCGCUUCUAGUGAUAGAAGUGGCACGGCAAACCCUGCCAGGAGCAAGACCAAAUAGGCUCGCGUUUUAAGGGCUACUCGCCCAAGCGAGCGGGUAGGAUCGCUCGAGCCAACCAGCAAUGGUUGGCCUAGAUGAAUGGUUGCCCCCUUCGCAAGAAGGGUACAAAACCCGGCUUACAGUUCCGCCACCGUU
rnacentral:RNase_P_RNA from 1 species